CCUACGGGAGGCAGCAGUGGGGAAUUUUGGACAAUGGGCGCAAGCCUGAUCCAGCCAUGCCGCGUGCAGGAUGAAGGCCUUCGGGUUGUAAACUGCUUUUGUACGGAACGAAAAGGUCUUUUUUAAUAAAGAGGGCCCAUGACGGUACCGUAAGAAUAAGCACCGGCUAACUACGUGCCAGCAGCCGCGGUAAUACGUAGGGUGCAAGCGUUAAUCGGAAUUACUGGGCGUAAAGCGUGCGCAGGCGGUAAUGUAAGACAGAUGUGAAAUCCCCGGGCUCAACCUGGGAACUGCAUUUGUGACUGCAUUGCUGGAGUGCGGCAGAGGGGGAUGGAAUUCCGCGUGUAGCAGUGAAAUGCGUAGAUAUGCGGAGGAACACCGAUGGCGAAGGCAAUCCCCUGGGCCUGCACUGACGCUCAUGCACGAAAGCGUGGGGAGCAAACAGGAUUAGAUACCCUGGUAGUCCACGCCCUAAACGAUGUCAACUGGUUGUUGGGUCUUCAUUGACUCAGUAACGAAGCUAACGCGUGAAGUUGACCGCCUGGGGAGUCGGCCGCAAGGUUGAAACUCAAAGGAUUGACG
rnacentral:rRNA from 1 species